AUUGAACGCUGGCGGCAUGCUUUACACAUGCAAGUCGAGCGGCAAGCGCGGGGCUCGGGCAACUGAGUUUUGGCGGCGAGCGGCGAACGGGUGAGUAAUACAUCGGGAACGUAUCCUGUAGAGGGGGAUAGCCCGGCGAAAAGCCGGAUUAAUACCGCAUAUGCUCUACGGAGGAAAAGCGGGGGGACUUCGCAAGGAGCCUCGCGCUAUAGGAGCGGCCGAUGUCCGAUUAGCUUGUUGGCGGGUAAAGCCCACCAAGGCGACGAUCGGUAGCUGGUCUG
rnacentral:rRNA from 1 species